rnacentral:rRNA from 1 species
AUUGAACGCUGGCGGCAGGCUUAACACAUGCAAGUCGAGCGGAAACGAUGAUAGCUUGCUAUCAGGCGUCGAGCGGCGGACGGGUGAGUAACGCGUAGGAACCUACCUAUUAGUUUGGGAUAGCCAUUGGAAACGAUGAUUAAUACCGGAUACGCCCUACGGGGGAAAGGGGCUUCGGCUCUCGCUAUUAGAUGGGCCUGCGUGAGAUUAGCUAGUUGGUGAGGUAAUGGCUCACCAAGGCAACGAUCUCUAGCUGGUUUGAGAGGAUGAUCAGCCACACUGGGACUGAGACACGGCCCAGACUCCUACGGGAGCAGCAGUGGGGAAUAUUGCACAAUGGGCGCAAGCCUGAUGCAGCCAUGCCGCGUGUGUGAAGAAGGCUCUAGGGUUUGUAAAAGCACUUUCAACAGUGAGGAAAGGUUAGUAGUUAAACCU